CCUACGGGGGGCAGCAGUGGGGAAUAUUGGACAAUGGGCGAAAGCCUGAUCCAGCCAUGCCGCGUGUGUGAAGAAGGCCUUCGGGUUGUAAAGCACUUUCAGUGGGGAAGAAAGCCUUGGGGCUAAUACCCUCGAGGAAGGACAUCACCCACAGAAGAAGCACCGGCUAACUCCGUGCCAGCAGCCGCGGUAAUACGGAGGGUGCGAGCGUUAAUCGGAAUUACUGGGCGUAAAGCGCGCGUAGGCGGUCUGAUAAGCCGGUUGUGAAAGCCCCGGGCUCAACCUGGGUACGGCAUCCGGAACUGUCAGGCUAGAGUGCAGGAGAGGAAGGUAGAAUUCCCGGUGUAGCGGUGAAAUGCGUAGAGAUCGGGAGGAAUACCAGUGGCGAAGGCGGCCUUCUGGACUGACACUGACGCUGAGGUGCGAAAGCGUGGGUAGCAAACAGGAUUAGAUACCCCUGUAGUC
rnacentral:rRNA from 1 species